AGUGAACGCUGGCGGUAGGCCUAACACAUGCAAGUCGAACGGCAGCACAGUAAGAGCUUGCUCUUACGGGUGGCGAGUGGCGGACGGGUGAGGAAUACAUCGGAAUCUACUUUUUCGUGGGGGAUAACGUAGGGAAACUUACGCUAAGACCGCAUACGACCUACGGGUGAAAGCAGGGGAUCUUCGGACCUUGCGCGAUUGAAUGAGCCGAUGUCGGAUUAGCUAGUUGGCGGGGUAAAGGCCCACCAAGGGGACGCUCCGUCGCCGGACUGAGAGGAUGAUCAGCCGCACUAGAAAGGAGACGAGGUCCAGACUCCUAAGGGAGGCAGCAGUGGGGAAUAUUGGAGAAUGGGCGGAAGCCUGAUCCAGACAUACCGCGUGAGUGAAGAAGGCCUUCGGGUUGUAAAGCCCUUUUGUUGGGAAAGAAAAGCAGCAGGUUAAUACCCCGCUGUUCUGACGGUACCCAAAGAAUAAGCACCGGCUAACUUCGUG
rnacentral:rRNA from 1 species